CAAUGAACUUAAGAUUUAUUUAUAAGAAAUAAUCUUUAUUAGAA
rnacentral:tRNA from 1 species